rnacentral:lncRNA from 1 species
GUCAUUGGAGAGAAACCAACAGCUGAAGUGCACCAGAGGAGGCAGUUUGCCUGGAAACAAAAAUCCAUUCAUACAAACACAUUCACUCUAUGUCACUGGCAUUAUAACUGAUAACUAGAGGUAAACAAUUGGAGACAUGCUAGAAUUAAAUGAAAACUAUUGAACAAUCAAAAGUACAAGAAAUAGUCAUGAGAAUCACCCAAAAACUGCUGGAAACAAAAAACAAAAAAAAAAAAGCAAAAAUGCAUGUCAAAUCCCAAAUAGUUCAGGGAAAUAAUAGGGAACACUGUGGGAACAAACAACUAGCCUUAGAUAAGUCAAACCAAUUGAAGAAACAGGUGAAAAUACCACAAAACUUUUGGAAAAACUAAAGUCAUCAUUAACAUGGAGAAACAAAAGG